rnacentral:ncRNA from 1 species
ACUGGAUCGGAUAAGUGCUGAAAGCAUCUAAGUACGAAGCCGGCUUCAAGAUAAGAUAUCCUCAUAAGGGUCGUUGUAGACUACAACGUUGAUAGGCUGCAGGUGUAAAGGCAGUAAUGUCAUAGCCGAGCAGUACUAAUUGCCCGAAAGCUUUCACAGG